ACGCUUGCCGGUUGCCACCACCCUUCCUGUUUUGCGAUUCUGUACAGUGAAUAUGUUAUUAGUAAAGGUAACGGAUAAAGGAAAAUCUAAUGUUAAUUACUUAUGGAAAGUAAAUUCUUGGUAAGGCGAGGUACAGCUAGGACAUCAAGAAGAUGUAGAUUUGGGGUAGGGAAAAUUUUACCAGUAUGGGUAAUGAGUAGUGAGGGACCAUUCCCAACAACCACACAAUCCUUACCCAUGUAAUUUGUGGCCUGAUCCAAUUUAGAGUGAUCCAUGGUCAUAUGGGCUGAAGCCCCUGUAUCCAAAUACCAGUCAGAGCCCACAUCUUCAUUUAGAGAACAAGAUCUCAUGAAGGCUUCAGCAAGGUAAGUUGGUGUCUCAUUCCGAUCAUAGUGUUGAAGGCACCGAUCGGCAAAGUGGCCAUCCAUCCUGCAAAUCUGGCAUCUUGGUAGACGACGCCAUUGACUGUAGUUGGAGUGUCAUUGUCCACGAUCAGAUGAACUGUUGCCACGCCCACCGAAGCGACCCCGAUGACUACGAGAAGAGCCACCAUGAUGGGUGGAAUUUUUUGUGACAGUAAAGGCUGUCGCUGCUAGAGAAGAUGAGUCAAGGGAUUUCUGAAAAAUUUCAAAACUUUCGGCCUUUGAGACUAAAUCUGUAAAUGAGGGCAGAGAAGUUUGGGCCAUUUGUGCUGUGGAGAAACUAGAGAAAUCAGUACCGAGCUCGCAGGGAAACCAGUGCACCUUGUCAGUACCAUCAACUGGACAACCAAUUGCAUGCAGUUGAUCACAAAUUGCUUUGAAGGAACGGGCAUACUCAACAACCGAUCUAUUGCCGCGUUUCAUUAAUUGCAAGUCAUCCUUAAGGCGUAGUUCUCGAGCUUUAGAACGAUGGCUAAAUGCAUUUUCUAGUGCCAGCCACACGUCUCAUGCGGUGGAGAGGCCAACUACCUCAGCCAUGGCUUCCUCUGUGAGGGAGGAAAGUAACAAACUGAGGAGACGCUGAUCAAUAGCUUUCCAUGCUAGGUAUUUGUCACUUAACGUGAGAGAAGUGGUAGCGUCAAGUUUUGGGGGCUACACAAGGGUGCCAUCAACAUGUCCUAAUAAUUCUUGACUUUCAAGAAGAGGGAGGAGUUGGGCUUUCCAGAGAAGAUAAUUUGAGGAGGAAAGUUCAAUGGUGAUCAUGUGGAUUAAGGUAUUGAAAGGAAGAAGGGUGGCAGAAGUUUCAGAAGCCAUGAAGGGAAGAAGAAGAACAGGAUAUGUGGUAUGUAUGUUAAACCACUGGCUCUUAUACCAUAAGAAUGAUUAAAAAUCUACCUUAAUUUCAGUGGUGUAUCGUAUUGCAUUAUAUAGAGCUUUACAAGAUAGUAUAAAUGGAAUACAAAUCAAUAAUUUACAAUGAAAUGGAAACCGUGUAAAUGAAAUGGAAACCAUGUAAAUUAGCCUCCUUCAAUUACGUGAUUGGCAUUGACAUGCCAUGGGAAGAUUGUGAUUGAGGAGUAAUAUCCUCAAUCACAAUAUUAUUUCCAACACACAAGACUCCGAAGUAGACUACCCAAAGAGUAAGUCACUUUGUGUAACACAACAGUAAAGUCCAAUCGAUAAAUCCAACAAACUUAUAACUACAUACAUACAUGCAUACGUUGUACACACACACACAGUGAGAGAAACUUGGGAGUUCCCAUAUUCAUUUUCCUAAACAAUCUUGACAAAAAAACAAUCUUUGUCGAGGCCUUGUCAAAUGGCUUUGGCACUAGGCAACGGUUAAUUCUUAUACCAGCCGCUAAGAAAGCGCAGCAAUUACAUUAAUAUCCCUGCCUUGUUUGGUUCGACGUCGCAAUUCCUGGGGUUUUCCUAAAGGGCUCACUGUUUUUCUUCAUUUCAUUUUACACCAUAAAAAUUUGUAGGGGUGUGCUUGAUUGCAAGGAAUUUGAAUGAAUAGUUUUAUUUGUUGGUCAAAGUUGUUAACAUAUUGGUGUGAAACCACCGAAUGACUCUUUUGUAAGGAAAACUGGUUGAAGCAAUCACGACAAUGAAAUAUGUAUUUCUUGUAAAUGUCAUCUUAUAUAAUUUCAAAAAGUCUACGUUCAACACUUUUUACGCGUAAUUAUUAUUUUCGGUUUUUUACUUAUAUUUUUGUUGAAGAAGUGAUCCCCUAAAUUUUUACACUCAACACAUACAUAUUAGUCAACAUAUGAUGGGAUUUGCAUGUGCAACUAACAAAACUUAUAAGUCUCUGAAUAUUUAAAUUUUCGACCUUGAAGUGUAAAGGCUUUUCAUUUGUUAAAAACUUGUAGCCAACUUUUGUAGACUAGCAAGAUGCAAUUUAUUUAGGGAAACUUUUUUUAUUCAUAAAAUUCCAAAUCGAAAACAUGGAAUGGGUCGAUACUUUCAAUUAAGGACGUCAAAACCAGCCGUAUUGAUUAGGUAGGUAGGUAGCUCGAUCUAUGUAAGGGUUUUAAUUGACAUGAUCCUUAUAUGAUCUAUGAUAUUUUAUUUGAUACUUGUCCAUUGGAUUUUUUUUUUUUUUAUAUGAUAAACGGCUAUCAAAUUGCGGGCUUAAAGGUUUAACUCACAAGGUUUUUGCUCUGAUGAACACUCAAAACUAUUUAUUAGGAAAAAAAAUAACAAAAUAUAAUGUUUAUUAUGAAAUUAUUAUCUAAUUGAAAAACAUGCUUGAAAAUAUAGAAAAAUCAGGCAAACAAAACUUUGAAUCUAAUUAAAUUGUAGUAUUAUUUUAUUCAAUUUGCUGACCCAAUUUUGGCUACUUGCCUCUAAUAAUUUCCCGGAAAAUAAUAAUCCAACCAAAUCAUAAAAAAUAAUUCAUAACUGCUGUAAACAACAUCACAUAAAGUAAUUUGAUACAUUGCACAACAAUCUUUGAUGUUAUUAUUUGAGAAGCCUUUAAAAAUGUUAAUUAGGCCCCUCAAAUGCUCAUCCCACUUUGAACGACUCGAUCUAACAAAUUGAUACUAAAUUUAUUGAUAAUGAGAUUUAAUUUUCCGUAUAACAGUCUUUAUCAAAUAACUAGUUCAUCAAACUGUACCUUGAUUUAAUUUGAUUUCUUAAUAGGAACCAAGCUUGCGGCAGAGGAAGGAAUUGCUUUGGUGUUAAUGGUGGUGGUUUUGGGCUGUUUUGGCUCGUCCGAUUCGUCGGUAUUUCAGGAUUUCACCAGAGGAAUUUGCUGUUGAGUAGCGACGUCCCAACCGGCAAACUUUUGAGGAAGAAAGAAGAAAUCGGUGGGGAAGAAUUUGUACUGAAGUCCAGCCAUGGAUGUAUAGAAAUGAGUUAUUUGAGAGUAUAGAGCUUUUUUGUUAAGCAUUUUGAUUCGGCCUUUCACUUAUUUAUAGAGCCACAUUAUCCAAGGGCCUGUUU
rnacentral:lncRNA from 1 species